AACACACGACACAACAACUGGUCUUUUUCCCAGACAAUUUUCUCCUCACCGCAUCUCCUCCGUCACAUCUUCGAUUACCGGCAACUACUUGUGCCAGAUUUUUGUUGAUUUACAGUUUCCUCCUCGCUUCCUUGCAUCGCCGUUUAUCGUUGCCGGCUAAUUCUUCCGCCGGAUUUAUUGGCAGAGAUAAGGCCAAACGCAUUUGCCGCCAUGAGUUCUGAAAUUGUCAUGCAUAUCAUGGAUGGCAGUCCGAUUCAGUCCGAUUCCUCGAGAUAGGAUACUAUCCUCUACAGAGCUUUGCUCUUUUUUGGGAAUUAAAGUGCUUGUUUGAAUAACUUAAAAGAUGCAUAGAGUUUGCCAUGGCCAAUACCAUGAUGAGGAGAACUGACGGGAGUUGUGCCAUGCCUUGGAGCAUGAAGGAGUUUGUCAUGGCUAGUACCAUGAUGAUGAGUUAAAUGAUGAUGAGUUAAAGGCGAAUUGACGGAAAAAUAAAUUUAGUAAACCGGAUGAUUGUUUCUUGCUGUUUUAGAGUAAUAGGAUUGAGUCCUGUUUGAGCUUAUUUUAGGAUUAGACUUUUCUUAAUCUUUAUGUUAUUUUAUGACGGAAGUGAUAAUAAGCCUCCUAUGGUUCAUCUUACUGGGUAAUUCAAUUACUCACCUCUCCUCUUUCCUUUCAAGUUAUCAUUGGAACUAUUAUCUAAUGUGAUUGUUGCUACACGAGCGUUUUCCAUCCUGACAUCCCUGCUGCUCAUCACUAGACCAAACCAGAUGAUUAACCGAAUGCGGUUAUACCAUCAACCUAAUAGGCCCGAUUUUCGGUUAUCACAUAAGACCCGGGGUUGUGAUGUUACACGUUACCUCUCUAAAACUUAUGAAGU